CUCUCCGCAGUCGUAUUUAUUUGGGGUUCUUCUUCUUCUCGGCAUCGACAUCAGAUAAUUCGCAAAAUCGAUAGCCGAAGUUACGUAUGUUUAUCUAAUUUCUUCUUCUUUUAUCUGUUUGAAUGUAUGUUUGUAUGUUUUUCUCUUCAAUUUGAAUUUUUAGUUUUAUGCAAUCUAGGGUUUCGCAAUUUGGGAUUUUUAUGCAUCUUUUCAUUUUAUGAAUUUCUAGAGAUUGAGAGUUUUUAUUUUAUGAUUUUCUAGAGAUUGAGAGUUAUUUUGAAUGGAAGAUUGAGAGUUAUUUUGAAUGGAAGGGAAGGAUGAUGAUUCUUCGAUUAGGUGGGAAAAUAAGAAAAAUAAGGGUUCUACAGAACAAAAAUACAGAUUGUCUGGUAAUAUGGAUUUCAAAAGCUUCAGUGCCCGUUUGAAAUAUCAGAAGCGUCAUUUUACUGAAGCUCUCUGGGAUGAGAUUAUCAGGUCUGAUAAUAGAGAGAUGUACAAAGGAGGAGUUACGCAGGCAGAGACAGCGAAGACUUGGCCGCAGAUAUCACAGAGAAACUGCCCAGAGGUUAGGUGUGAUUAAGCCACUGGAGAUCAAGCCACCGGCGAUUAAGCUUAUCGCUAAACAAGCUGAGAAAAAGCUUACUGCUAAACAAGCUGAGAAAAAGAAAAGGAGAAGAUCUGUAGAUUGUGGGACCACGACAUUGGCAACGCAGAGGCAAAAAUACCAGCAUACACGGUUGUUUAAUGUGUGAAUCCAUCCCUGCAUAGUAAGAGGACGGCGUGGAAAGGAUGUGACAGGUACACUCGAAGCUAAUUUGAACGGUUUCCAGUAUUCCAACUGUUGUAUCCCCUUUAAGAUUAAUAUCAUGUAUGGUGAUAUAAAGUAUGCCUUCGCUCAAGAUGGAGAUGAGCAGAGUGCCCCGUUAUGCCAUUUGCACUUGCACAAGACUGAAAUGACACAGAAUAUCCAGUUCCGUAUGGUACUGAGGAGACCUGCUCAUGGUUCGGGUAACUUUCAAAAAGAGCUGCAAAAGAUUAGGGAUGAUAAUAAUAGGGUUAUGCGGGAGUUUAGACGCAAAGUUGAUUGUAUUUUUGAUCCGUUGCCACUCAGGCUUACAUGUGAUUAUGUGGACACGAAACGAGGAUUCUAUGGCGAGCUUCACCUGAAGGGGCACCCUCCAUUUUCAACCAUUUUUGUCUUCUCCUAUUUUACCCUAGUUCAACUCAAUCACACACCUUUCACUAUUGUCACACUGAAAGAGAUCGAGAUUGUCAAUCUGGUGCAAGUUGGGUCUGAGAUGGAGAUGUUUAAUAUGACAAUCGUGUUCAAGAACUUCGAGCUCGAUGUGCUUCAGAUAAACUCAAUUCCUUCAGCAAAGCGCAUUAGCAUCAAAGAGUCACUUAACCUUGCUAGGGUCAAAUACUAUGAAAAUAAGCAGGACUUUCCAGACUGGGGGUCCAAACUGGAGGAAAUCAGAGCUAACCCAAAGGAGUUCAUAGAUAAGGGUGGAUGGAAGUUCCUCAAUGUGGAGGGGAGUGCUAAUAACUCUGAUAGCUCGGGGGAUGAGUACAGUAUUGGUUAUUACUCCUCAGAACCUGAGCAGACAUGUGAAUCAGUUCCAAAAGGGAAAGAAUCAGUUCCAAAAGGGAAAGAACAGUUUGUACAGUUUUGGAAUCAAAUUUGUUAUCUUCUGACUCUGACAGCUCAGUGGAUCUUUCUGACUUGCUCUGCAGCUUUGGUUAUGAUUCAUACCCAAAAAAGGAAGAAAAGAAACACAUUCCAUUGAUUCAGAAAACAUGGACUAUGGCAGAAGGAAAACGGGUAAUGGUGUCAUCGGAUGAAUGCGACUCGGACCCAGAAAUGAAAGAAAAAAAGGCCACAACUCAGACGAAGCACGCUACGAAAACAAGAAGACUGAGAAAGUUGGUAAUGGCUGAAGAAUCAGGUGAGUAAAGUGGAGCAUAAGAAAGGUUAUGUCGUACAUUUGUGUUUAAAUUAAUUGAGUAGUAAAAUGACAGAUGCAAGUAAGUCAUAGUAUUAUUUUGCAUACCGAUUAACUAGUAAUUGGUCUUUUUGUAUUAAUCCCUCAAUUCCGUUGUAGGUAUGGGUACUGAGGAGAUUGAGGUGAAUAUAUAACCUCUUUAUUUAACUUAACAAAACCUUUGCAUCUUUGUCUGUUUAGCAAUCUGUUAUAUCCCUUUCUUCCUAGCUAGUAAUCUUUGUAUGGUUCUUGAGUGAGGAAAAUCUUUUCACGCUUACGCUCAACCUGUAUGGCACCCGAGACUGGCGACCAGCUUCAGGAGAGUAUUUCCAAGUAUGGGAAUAUUGUAAUUGCAGGCUUGGUAGUUCCGACCUCUGCUGCUGUCAUCCCAGCUGGAUAUCCCCUCUUUACUACACCGUGCCACCUAAUAUGGUUCCACCAAAGGGGCUUAUGCAUCAACCUUUGGGUCUGAUCCACCUGAAUGAAGGACCAGUAAAUUUCUGCCUCCUGCUAGGCCAAGUUUCUAUGUUGGUGCCCCGACCCAUGGCAAUUCUAGAAAAAAUGGGGGAGAAUGAGUGCGGAUAUGGUUGCUCAAACAGGUGGUCAAUCGGUGUCAUUUAUGCCACACAUUCCACAUCUACCUCUCGGCCAGCGAUUUCAGUGAGAGAUCCAAACAAUCAGCAGAACAAGUACAUAAUGGAAGUGCAGAUGGGCGAGAUGAAAAUUGGACCACACAGACUCUCAUCUAUUGCUGGUCCUAAAUCUGUUCGAGGAUUAAAGACAUUGAGCACCAAGCUAGCUGCUGGCUGCUUUCCCUCAGCACCAGGAACAGAUGCUUGGCGAAUAUCUUUACCCACUUGUCUUUAAACUCCAGCAUUACCUUGCGGGCGGCAAAGCUAACUGGGAUGUUUUUGGAGAUGGAUAACUCGGAGUUGCUUCUUUUAUUGGAGUCACCAGAAUCGUUGGCCAUGAAAGCAGGGCAGGUUCUUAACAGCUCCUAGACAACAAGAUCCUCUGGUGCUGGGUGGGCCCUCCAUCCCCAUUACAUGUCAACUACCUCGUAGAAUCUUGUUGCCGGAGUCUCUAUCUGUAUUUCUUUUUCCAAGUUUAAAGUUAUGGUUUGACAACCAGGUGUAUUCUGCGUGGGUAGCAUUUUCGCUAAUCGUACUUGUUGACUACA